GUGGGGAAUUUUGGACAAUGGGCGCAAGCCUGAUCCAGCAAUGCCGCGUGCAGGAAGAAGGCCUUCGGGUUGUAAACUGCUUUUGUACGGAACGAAACGGUCCUGGCUAAUACCUGGGGCUAAUGACGGUACCGUAAGAAUAAGCACCGGCUAACUACGUGCCAGCAGCCGCGGUAAUACGUAGGGUGCGAGCGUUAAUCGGAAUUACUGGGCGUAAAGCGUGCGCAGGCGGUCCUGUAAGACAGGCGUGAAAUCCCCGGGCUCAACCUGGGAAUUGCGCUUGUGACUGCAGUGCUGGAGUGCGGCAGAGGGGGAUGGAAUUCCGCGUGUAGCAGUGAAAUGCGUAGAUAUGCGGAGGAACACCGAUGGCGAAGGCAAUCCCCUGGGCCUGCACUGACGCUCAUGCACGAAAGCGUGGGGAGCAAACAGGAUUAGAUACCCUAGUAGUCC
rnacentral:rRNA from 1 species